rnacentral:rRNA from 1 species
CCUACGGGGGGCAGCAGUGGGGAAUAUUGGACAAUGGGGGGAACCCUGAUCCAGCCAUGCCGCGUGUGUGAAGAAGGCCCUCGGGUUGUAAAGCACUUUCAGUGAGGAAGAACGCCUGGUGGUUAAUACCCAUCAGGAAAGACAUCACUCACAGAAGAAGCACCGGCUAACUCCGUGCCAGCAGCCGCGGUAAUACGGAGGGUGCGAGCGUUAAUCGGAAUUACUGGGCGUAAAGCGCGCGUAGGUGGCUUGAUAAGCCGGUUGUGAAAGCCCCGGGCUCAACCUGGGAACGGCAUCCGGAACUGUCAAGCUAGAGUGCAGGAGAGGAAGGUAGAAUUCCCGGUGUAGCGGUGAAAUGCGUAGAGAUCGGGAGGAAUACCAGUGGCGAAGGCGGCCUUCUGGACUGACACUGACACUGAGGUGCGAAAGCGUGGGUAGCAAACAGGAUUAGAUACCCGAUAGUC